GAUGAACGCUGGCGGCGUGCCUAAUACAUGCAAGUCGAACGAACAGACGAGGAGUUUGCUCCUCACACGUUUGCGGCAGGCGGGUGAAUCACACGUGGAUAACCUACCUAUAAGACUGGGAAAACUGCGGGAAACCGGAGCAAAUACGGGAGGAUAUAUGGAACCGCAUGGUUCAAUAAUGAAAGACGGGUUUGCUGUCACUUAUAGAUGGAUCCGCGCCGCAUUAGCUAGUUGGUAAGGUAAGGGCUUACCAAGGCAACGAUGCGUAGCCGAGCUGAGAGAGUGAUCGGCCACACUGGAACUGAUACACGGUCCAGACUCCUACGGGAGGCAGCAGUAGCGAAUCUUCCGCAAUGGGCGAAAGCCUGACGGAGCAACGCCGCGUGAGUGAUGAAGGUCUUCGGAUCGUAAAACUCUGUUAUUAGGGAAGAACAAAUGUGUAAGUAACUAUGCCCGUCUUGACGGUACCUAAUCAGAAAGCCACGGCUAACUACGUG
rnacentral:rRNA from 1 species